UGUAAAUGUGAUCUAAUUCUGCUCCUGAGA
rnacentral:piRNA from 1 species